AGUGAACGCUGGCGGUAGGCCUAACACAUGCAAGUCGAACGGCAGCACAGUAAGAGCUUGCUCUUACGGUUGGCGAGUGGCGGACGGGUGCGGAAUACAACGGAACCUACUUUUUCGUGGGGGAUAACGUAGGGAAACUUACGCUCAUACUGCAUACUUCCUACGGGUGAAAGAAGGGGAUCUUCGGACCUUGCGCGCUUGAAUGAGCCGAUGUCGGAUUAGCUAGUUGGUCGGGUAAAGGCCCACCAAGGCGACGAUCCCUAGCUGGCCUGAGAGGGUGGUCGGCCACACUGGAACUGAGAAACGGGCCAGACCCCUACGGGAGGCAGCAGUAGGGAAUCUUCGGAAAUGGGCGCAAGCCUGACGGAGCAACGCCGCGUGAGUGAAGAAGGGCUUUGGAGCGUAAAACCCUUUUUUUAGGGAAAAAAAAAUGUGGAAGUAACUCUGCACAUUUUGACGGUACCCAAAAAGAAAGCCACGGCUAACUACGUG
rnacentral:rRNA from 1 species